UAAACUGCUUGGGCUUGCAAAUCUAUUGCAGGAUUAAUCAAAAAAUAAUUCUCAGCUCGUGGAGUAGCUAAGGAUGUGACAACAGUCUUGGAGAUAGACAUGCUGGUCAUUCUUACGUCCUCUUUGGAGCCUCUCUGUCCAUCUACACACUCCAUAUGCUGCAGAGACCUUGCAUUUACACAAACACCUCAUGAAUUAUAAAGUGCCAGCCACUUGAAUGAGCCAUGGCAGUGCAGGGGUGGGUGGAAAGAUGGUGGGCUGGCUUAGCAGAGUGUUGGAAGGAUGGAUGAGGAUGCAAAUGUUGGAAGAUUGAAGUGUUGGAAAAGGAUCAGAUAUUAAAAUACAUGAUUCUGCUCUCUUCCCCUCUCUCCAAGCAAUGGGAGUUUCACAAGAGGUGAAUAAUCAGAUAAAAGUUAAGUACUCUCUAGGCAACAGGCUUGAAAGAAAGAGUAAAAUUAGUGAGAUGGGUAAAUCAGGAAAUUUAGGAAGUAGAUAAGAUUGUCCGUACUGAAGAAGAAGGAAAGGAAAAGCACAUGGGUCAAAAAGAAGAUGCCACUGCUAGGUUAGGAAGAUUAUUAGCUACAGACAUGCAAAGGAUUUGGGAAAAAUGAAUUAGGGAGGAAGACACAGAGGGAUCCCAGACAUACCAAAGGUCUGUCUGGUUCCUCGUUAGAAAGCACAAUGAAUCUGUCAUGAGGGUGGGCUUUAAAUAUGCAUCACUGGUAAGCAGCCAAGGAACCAAAAGUCUGUGGAAAGGAAAAUGCUCAAGGAUUUCAGCUUAAAAUUAACAGGAAGACCAAACAUUUGAGAUCUUCUGGGCAAAGGUGUUUCUCUUCCUCAGAUCCACUAAGAUCUAUUGUGUUCCCUCAUUUACAAUCCCCUAUAUACACGAGGACAUUUGUCUUCUACCAUAAACCUCCUGGGCUGCCUGUGUACCAUAAUUUGUGUUCAAUAAUCUGGCUUCCUGUGUACCAUAAUCUCUCUGCAAGGCACUUCCCACGGAUACCUGUAGUGCUGCUGAAUUCAAAAGAAACAGAGGUUGGGUACCCUGAAGAAAAAAAAAAAGAUGCACAGGCACAUUUGUUUAAGGGUUACAGGAAAUAAUGUCCAGCAGCAGAGAGAGCUCAUACACUUGAUGAAGGGUCGUGGAAAUUAAUUUUGGACCACUCUGUCCUUAUCUUCACAGGAGACCUACAGGUUAGCCCAGGAAAUAAGGUAAAUACCUACAGAAUACUGAAGAAUAAGUGUUUGAUGACCUGAUGUUUGACUCUGAGCAGUUCUUCCCAAUUGUACCAUUAACUGUUGCUUCUCCUUACAGACCUGAAGAUGUCUCCUACCCAGAGUAAGAUCUUCAGGAGCUGUACAUCAGGCAGACUCAGCUGAAAUUGCUGCCAGAACCCAACUAAUGGCAGUCAGCACAGUUCCAGUGGAAAAAAAAAAAAAAAAAAAAACAUGGGUGAGAACUGUGGUGGAUCUCUGAGAAUUGCUAAAUCCAACCCUAGAUCAGUGGAAAUCCUCAGAUUGUUCCAGGUGGCCUAUUGCUUUAAAGCCUCUGGGGAAAGCUGAUUUGGAAGGAUGAAAUAUAAACCCAUCAACAUGGUUUAGGGCCUAAAAUUGAGUGGAAACACUAAAACAGUCUCUAUUGUAUGGUAAAGCUUUAGGGAUGCUCAGAUUGUUGGGAAAAUUUGCUAGCACCAGAGAUUAACCCCUUUCAUGUUUGUGUUAACUGUCUCUUAAAAACACUGUCUGACAACGUGCUACCUGCAAUAACUUUCUUGUCCUUUGAUGGGAGAUUCUUUUACACAUUAUACAGGUCAUGGUUAUGUGAUCAUCCAAAUGUAAACAGAACCAUGCCAACAUAGGAGCUGAUGCCCUGGUGUCGAGAUGAUAUUUCUUCUUUUUGUGCAUCAUUUUUAUUGUCUUUUUCUAAAAUAAAAUAAAAUAAAAUAAAAUAAAUAAAUAAACA
rnacentral:lncRNA from 1 species